rnacentral:rRNA from 1 species
UACAGAGGGCCCGAGCGUUAGGCGGAAUCACUGGGCUUAAAGCGUGUGUAGGCGGAUUUGUAAGUACCUUGUGAAAUCCCACGGCUCAACCGUGGAACUGCUUGGUAUACUGCUUAUCUUGGGCCAUCUAGGGGCUAGCGGAACAAACGGUGGAGCGGUGAAAUGCGUAGAUAUCGUUUGGAACGCCAAUGGUGAAAACAGCUAGCUGGGGAUGUGCCGACGCUGAGACACGAAAGCCAGGGGAGCGAACGGG